GGAAUAUUGGACAAUGGGCGAAAGCCUGAUCCAGCCAUGCCGCGUGUGUGAAGAAGGUCUUCGGAUUGUAAAGCACUUUAAGUUGGGAGGAAGGGCAGUAAGCGAAUACCUUGCUGUUUUGACGUUACCGACAGAAUAAGCACCGGCUAACUCUGUGCCAGCAGCCGCGGUAAUACAGAGGGUGCAAGCGUUAAUCGGAAUUACUGGGCGUAAAGCGCGCGUAGGUGGUUUGUUAAGUUGGAUGUGAAAUCCCCGGGCUCAACCUGGGAACUGCAUUCAAAACUGACAAGCUAGAGUAUGGUAGAGGGUGGUGGAAUUUCCUGUGUAGCGGUGAAAUGCGUAGAUAUAGGAAGGAACACCAGUGGCGAAGGCGACCACCUGGACUGAUACUGACACUGAGGUGCGAAAGCGUGGGGAGCAAACAGGAUUAGAUACCCCUG
rnacentral:rRNA from 1 species